UACGUAGGGUGCGAGCGUUGUCCGGAAUUAUUGGGCGUAAAGGGCUCGUAGGCGGUUUGUCGCGUCGGGAGUGAAAACACCGGGCUUAACUCGGUGCUUGCUUUCGAUACGGGCAGACUAGAGGCAUGCAGGGGAGAACGGAAUUCCUGGUGUAGCGGUGAAAUGCGCAGAUAUCAGGAGGAACACCGGUGGCGAAGGCGGAUCUCUGGGCCUUACCUGACGCUCAGGCGCGAAAGCUAGGGGAGCGAACUGG
rnacentral:rRNA from 1 species